rnacentral:rRNA from 1 species
UACGGAGGAUCCAAGCGUUAUCCGGAAUCAUUGGGUUUAAAGGGUCCGUAGGCGGUUUUGUAAGUCAGUGGUGAAAGCCCAUCGCUCAACGGUGGAACGGCCAUUGAUACUGCAAGACUUGAAUUACUAGGAAGUAACUAGAAUAUGUAGUGUAGCGGUGAAAUGCUUAGAUAUUACAUGGAAUACCAAUUGCGAAGGCAGGUUACUACUAGUGGAUUGACGCUGAUGGACGAAAGCGUGGGGAUCAAACAGG